AUUGAACGCUGGCGGCAGGCCUAACACAUGCAAGUCGAGCGAGCGGCGGACGGGUGAGUAAUGUCUGGGAACCUGCCUGAUGGAGGGGGAUCACUACUGGAAACGGUAGCUAAUACCGCAUACCAUCAGAUGUGCCCAGAUGGGAUGAGCUAGUAGGGGGGGUAACGGCUCACCUAGGCGACGAUCCCUAGCUGGUCUGAGAGGAUGACCAGCCACACUGGAACUGAGACACGGUCCAGAGUCCUACGGGAGGCAGCAGUGGGGAAGAUUGCACAAUGGGCGCAAGCCUGAUGGAGCCAUGCCGCGUGUGUGAAGAAGGCCUUCGGGUUGUAAAACACUUUCAGCGGAGAGGCGUUACCCGCAGAAGAAGCACCGGCUAACUCCGUGCCAGCCGCCGCGGUAAUUC
rnacentral:rRNA from 1 species